rnacentral:tRNA from 1 species
GGGGCCGUGGUGUAGCUUGGCUAGCAUGCGGGCCUUGGGAGCCCGUGGUCCCCGGUUCAAAUCCGGGCGGCCCCA